rnacentral:tRNA from 1 species
GGUGGGUUGGCGGAGUGGUUACGCACCGGAUUGCAAAUCCGUGAAGAUCGGUUCGAUUCCGAUACCCACCUCCA